CGCCUCUUGCUAAACCAAAAGUAUAAGAGGUCCCGCCUGCCCUGUGACUAUAUGUUUAACGGCCGCGGUAUUUUGACCGUGCGAAGGUAGCGCAAUCACUUGUCUUUUAAAUGGGGACCUGUAUGAAUGGCAUAACGAGGGCUUGACUGUCUCCUCUUUCAAGUCAAUGAAAUUGAUCUCCCCGUGCAGAAGCGGGGAUGAGCACAUAAGACGAGAAGACCCUAUGGAGCUUCAGACACUAAAGCAGGUCAACAUUAAUACCCCAAAUACUAGGGCACGAAUAAACUGAACUCUGCCCUAAUGUCUUAGGUUGGGGCGACCGCGGAGUAAUAAAAAACCCCCGCAAGGACCGAAUGUAUAACAUUCACAACCAAGAGCGACAGCUCUAAUUAACAGAUAUUUCUGACCAAUAAGAUCCGGCAACGCCGAUCUAUGGACCAAGUUACCCUAGGGAUAACAGCGCAAUCUCCUCUUAGAGCCCGUAUCAACGAGGAGGUUUACGACCUCGAUGUUGGAUCAGGACAUCCUAAUGGUGCAGCCGCUAUUAAGGGUUCGUUUGUUCAACGAUUAAAGUCCU
rnacentral:rRNA from 1 species